GAUGAACGCUGGCGGCGUGCCUAAUACAUGCAAGUCGAGCGAACGGACGAGAAGCUUGCUUCUCUGAUGUUAGCGGCGGACGGGUGAGUAACACGUGGAUAACCUACCUAUAAGACUGGGAUAACUUCGGGAAACCGGAGCUAAUACCGGAUAAUAUUUUGAACCGCAUGGUUCAAAAGUGAAAGACGGUCUUGCUGUCACUUAUAGAUGGAUCCGCGCUGCAUUAGCUAGUUAGUAAGGUAACGGCUUACCAAGGCAUCGAUGCAUAGCCGACCUGAGAGGGUGAUCGGCCACACUGGAACUGAGACACGGUCCAGACUCCUACGGGAGGCAGCAGUAGGGAAUCUUCCGCAAUGGGCGAAAGCCUGACGGAGCAACGCCGCGUGAGUGAUGAAGGUCUUCGGAUCGUAAAACUCUGUUAUUAGGGAAGAACAUAUGUGUGAGUAACUGUGCACAUUUUGACGGUACCUAAUCAGAAAGCCACGGCUAACUACGUG
rnacentral:rRNA from 1 species